ensembl:snoRNA SNORA49 small nucleolar RNA, H/ACA box 49
UUUCCUCAGCCUUACUCCAGGGGCUUUCUUGCCCAUAGAGUGCCCUGGCAUUGCCUGAGGAGAUAUCAGAAAGCACAUUUCCCUCCCCAAUAAGAGCUGGAUUUUCUUUUGGGGCCUACAGUUGGAGCUGACAUU